GAAGGUAUAGCUCAGUGGUAGAGUGUGUGCUUAGCAUGCAUGAGGUCCUGGGUUCAAUCCCCAGUACCUCCA
rnacentral:tRNA from 1 species